UACAGAGGGUGCGAGCGUUGUUCGGAAUUAUUGGGCGUAAAGCGCUGGUAGGUGGCUUGUUAAGUCGCGUGUGAAAGCUCCAGGCUCAACCUGGAAAGGGCGCGCGAAACUGGCGAGCUUGAGUGCCGGAGAGGGUCGCGGAAUUCCCGGUGUAGAGGUGAAAUUCGUAGAUAUCGGGAGGAACACCAGAGGCGAAGGCGGCGACCUGGAAGGUAACUGACACUGAGCAGCGAAAGCGUGGGGAGCAAACAGG
rnacentral:rRNA from 1 species